rnacentral:rRNA from 1 species
CGGAGGGUGCGAACGUUGCUCGGAAUUACUGGGCGUAAAGCGCGUGUAGGCGGGUCGGCAAGUCAGGCGUGAAAUCCCCAGGCUCAACCUGGGAACUGCGCUUGAAACUGCCGGUCUUGAGUAUCGGAGAGGGUGGCGGAAUUCCUGGUGUAGAGGUGAAAUUCGUAGAUAUCAGGAGGAACACCGGUGGCGAAGGCGGCCACCUGGACGAUUACUGACGCUGAGACGCGAAGGCGUGGGGAGCAAACAGGAUUAGAUACCCUGGUAGUCCACGCCGUAAACGAUGGGUGCUAGGUGUCUCGGGUAUUGACCCCUGAGGUGCCGUAGCUAACGCGUUAAGCACCCCGCCUGGGAAGUACGGCCGCAAGGCUA